rnacentral:piRNA from 1 species
UGAAUGCUUUCCAGCAAGAAU